rnacentral:rRNA from 1 species
GAUGAACGCUAGCGGCAGGCCUAAUACAUGCAAGUCGAACGGGAUCCAGAUCAAAGCUUGCUUUGGUCUGGUGAGAGUGGCGCACGGGUGCGUAACGCGUGAGCAACCUACCCUUGUCAGGGGGAUAGCCCGGCGAAAGUCGGAUUAAUACCGCAUGACAUCAUUGAGAGGCAUCUUUCGAUGAUCAAAGAUUUAUCGGACAAGGAUGGGCUCGCGUGGCAUUAGCUAGUUGGUAAGGUAACGGCUUACCAAGGCUGCGAUGUCUAGGGGCUCUGAGAGGAGAAUCCCCCACACUGGUACUGAGACACGGACCAGACUCCUACGGGAGGCAGCAGUAAGGAAUAUUGGUCAAGGGACGGAAGUCUGAACCAGCCAUGCCGCGUGCAGGAGGACGGCCCUAUGGGUUGUAAACUGCUUUUAUACGGGAACAAACGUCGGUACGUGUACCGGUCUGAGUGUACCGUAAGAAUAAGGAUCGGCUAACUCCGUG